GCCUCAGGUACAUGGAUGUGUCAACAUUUGCCAGGGCCACAGAACUGUCAUUUGAAAAGCCAGAUAAAAGCGGCAUGAGGAGGCUGGAAAAAGAGAGUACGACUUAGCGGUUCAGAAAACCACCCUCCAUUUCAUUCUGGAGCCCGGAGGUUACACCCAGGCAUCACAAAAGCUUCUUUCCUCACAACAUUAACUGGUAAGUGCUUUCGUGUUUGUUUUCCCAAACUGACACAAAUGUAGC
rnacentral:lncRNA from 1 species